GUUUGUUUGACAGGAUUAGGGAGGACUGGACUGGACUAGACUACAGUCCCUUGUUUGGUCUGCAUCAGGAUUAGGUUUAAUGGGAUUAGGUCUGACUCGCUAGGAUUAAACCCCUCACUGGCAGUUCUAAGCGAAGCACCCCGAUCACCCCCGGACUCGUAAGACCUCAUGCGCUCCUGCGCUCAUGCGAGAGAGAACCUCGCUCAACCUCGAUCCUUGAUGUGCUCCCUCCUUGCCCUGCUCCCUCAUCGUCGUCCUCCUCAUCAUCAUCUCUGCGUCCUGCUUGCCCUCAACUCCAUCCUGCUCGCCCUCAUCUGGGCAAUCAAAUCGGAACUCAAGAAAGUGUUCGUCCAAAGGCUUUUAAGCGACAAAGCAAGCAGAUGAGUAUAUUAUGUGGUGCCUUUUGACAUGGAUGUAUUUUAUUAAUCGUACAAUCUUAUGUUAUGGCUUAUAACUUAGCUUUGCACUAUAAAGUAUUUUGGCUAAUGUUAACUAGGAUUUUGUAAAUUAUGGAGAUUUACUUUGGAAUGCUAUACUAUAGUUCACUGGUAUUUUGUAAAAUAUCCUGGAUGAAAGUUUAGUGAAUGAUGUUUUAAGAGUCAAUCAAUGGCAAAGAUUGACUUGUCACAAGUAUCUUCUUAUGUACUUGUAUUUGUUGAAGUUGCAUGUAUUGGGCACUAUUCUUUUUCUU